UACGAAGGGAGCUAGCGUUGUUCGGAAUCACUGGGCGUAAAGCGCACGUAGGCGGAUGUGUCAGUCAGGGGUGAAAUCCCGGAGCUCAACUUCGGAACUGCCUUUGAUACAGCACGUCUUGAGUCCGAUAGAGGUGGGUGGAAUUCCUAGUGUUAGAGGUGAAAAUUCGUAGAUAUUAGGAAGAACACCGGUGGCGAAAGGCGGUUCGCUGGGACGGGUACUGACGCUGAGACGCGAAAGCGUGGGGAGCGAACAGG
rnacentral:rRNA from 1 species